ACCGUCGACAAUCAGGCAACGAGCGAGACCCCUGCGUCUAGUUGCUACCAUUACUCUCUGGAGCAGUGGAGCGAAUUAGACGGAUCGCCACAGUUAAUGUGGAGGAAGGAAGGGGCCACGGCAGGUCAGUAUGCCCCGAAACCCUAGGGCUACACGCGGGCUGCAAUGGUAUUGACAAUGUGUUCCGAAUCCGAAAGGAGGAGGCAAUCAUCAAACAAUAUCUCAGUUAUGACUGAGGGCUGUAACUCGCCCUCACGAAUAUGGAAUCCCUAGUAACCGCGCGUCACUACCGCGCGGUGAAUACGUCCCUGCUCCUUGCACGAAUUCGCCG
rnacentral:rRNA from 1 species